rnacentral:lncRNA from 1 species
ACAUCUCUUGGAGUUCUAGCUCACCUUUCUGGUGUUGUUCUUGUACUCAUCUGUUUAAUCUAGUUCUGCCACUUCUUCUUGAACUUCUUGUUAGAUUUCAAGUCUGUAUUUUGUGUCCGUGACACUAUGAACCUAUUGUGUGGCAUCAAUUUAAUGAGUGGUGAAUUUGGGACUCACAUAUUUCCACUGGCUUAAUAAAAUCGGC